ACAGUCUUGAACCAGUACUCGAGAAGGGAAGCUAUACAAUGAGCCGUCUCUUCCUAACGCUUCUGCUGUUGUCGCUGGUGCUGUUGCUUCUGACGCGGGCAACAGGAUUCCCAUUGCCCAUGACCACUCAAGCUCCUUACCCCCCCCGAUGCGUCUGCCCGGACCCCCCUUGUGACUGCGACAUCAUCCAAUACCCGUCCGUUAAGAGAUAAUAGAAGGCGUGAACCAAGCCUUGUGUAUAUAUAUAACCUCCAAGAUGUGUGUCAAGUUCUCAGUAUUUAUCUCGAGGUGUUUCUGUGUGGACGUGUGUUGUUAUUGUUCGUGUGUAUGUCUUCGUGGAUUAAGAUGACAAAGGACCGUUACCUCAAAGUAUCCUGUGAAGUGGUGAGAUUCCUUCCAGAUAUCAGAUCCAGGUGUUUAUUUCGCCACAUAGCAAUUACAUAGGUGUUAUAAGCUACGGAAGUGCAUUGGAUUAGGCCAAGCCUCUUGAGAGUCGAGUGGAUUCUCUAGGAAGGAGGAGCUGGCUGUAGAUUUACGAAAAACGUGGUGACAUCUUUGAGCGUGAUGGCUAUAAACACUGGUUUGAAAAGGGAGGAAGAAAAGGAAGGAAGGAAGAAAAGGGAAAGAAAGUGUAUACGGGAUUGUACGAAAGGGAAUUCAUAUGAUGUCGUCGAAUAAAAGUGAUGGAGUGUG